rnacentral:rRNA from 1 species
AUUGAACGCUGGCGGCAGGCCUAACGCAUGCAAGUCGAGCGGUAGAGAGGUGCUUGCACCUCUUGAGAGCGGCGGACGGGUGAGUAAUGCCUAGGAAUCUGCCUGGUAGUGGGGGAUAACGCUCGGAAACGGACGCUAAUACCGCAUACGUCCUACGGGAGAAAGCAGGGGACCUUCGGGCCUUGCGCUAUCAGAUGGGCCUGGGUCGGAUUAGCUAGUUGGUGAGGUAAUGGCUCACCAAGGCGACGAUCCGUAACUGGUCUGAGAGGAUGAUCAGUCACACUGGAACUGAGACACGGUCCAGACUCCUACGGGAGGCAGCAGUGGGGAAUAUUGGACAAUGGGCGAAAGCCUGAUUCAGCCAUGUCGCGUGUGUGAAGAAGGUCUUCGGAUUGUAAAGCACUUUAAGUUGGGAGGAAGGGUCGUUACCUAAUACGUGACGAUUUUGACGUUACCGACAGAAUAAGCACCGGCUAACUCUGUGCCAGCAGCCGCCGUAA